AGUUACUGGCGCAUCGACCUUGCAAGGCCUGUCGUCGAUGCCCCCACGGCACCAGACAGCGCCUCCUCCCUACGCGCGCUCAUCAUCACGCAUCCGUCGUCGAGACUUUGCUGCGCCUCGCCGCCGAGACUCCACGACGUCGAUGUGUCACAAGGAACGCCGCUCCAUCGUUGAUGCCGACCAAUGAUCCCUCGAGCCCGUGUGUACCUCCAUGAAUGACGCCCCCAAGAGGGAAACGAAACCAGAGCAUCGCCGUCAUCCGAUCUACUGAUCUAGGGUUUCCUUCGGAGGUAGCAAAGAGUGGCCUUGAACUUCUCCUCGGCGAUGCCUUCAGGAAGGAAACGACGUAGACAAC
rnacentral:lncRNA from 1 species